UACGGAGGGGGCAAACGUUGCCCGGAAUCAUUGGGCGUAAAGCGCACGCAGGCGGCCUGUCAAGUCGGAUGUGAAAGCCCUCGGCUCAACCGAGGAAGUGCAUACGAAACUGGCGGACUUGAAUAUGGAAGAGGGUCGCGGAAUUCCCGGUGUAGAGGUGAAAUUCGUAGAUAUGUGGAGGAAUACCGAUGGCGAAGGCAGCCCCCUGGGAUAACACUGACGCUCAUGCACGAAAGCGUGGGGAGCAAACAGG
rnacentral:rRNA from 1 species